UAGGUGGAUUAGUGGCGCACGGGUGAGUAACGCAUAGAUGACAUGCCCUUUAGUUUGGGAUAGCCACUAGAAAUGGUGAUUAAUACCAAAUACCACCCUACGGGGGAAAGAUUUAUCGCUAAAGGAUUGGUCUAUGUCCUAUCAGCUUGUUGGUGAGGUAAAGGCUCACCAAGGCGAUGACGGGUAUCCGGCCUGAGAGGGUGAACGGACACACUGGAACUGAGACACGGUCCAGACUCCUACGGGAGGCAGCAGUAGGGAAUAUUGCUCAAUGGGCGCAAGCCUGAAGCAGCAACGCCGCGUGGAGGAUGAAGGUUUUAGGAUUGUAAACUCCUUUUGUCAGAGAAGAUCAUGACGGUAUCUCACG
rnacentral:rRNA from 1 species